CAGGGCUGCAGCGGGCGCUGCUGGCAGCACAGCGCUGGGACGGGCGCAGUGACGGCUCCACAGGUUCGCAGCCCUACGAGGAGAUGGGGGGCACAAGGAGGGCAGCAGCGCCGCGUCGGGACGGGCACGAGGACGAUGCCAGCUCCUAUGAGAACAUGGCGGGCGCUGAGCUGACCCCGUGACCCUGCCGUGACCCCAUGUGACCCUGCUGUGACCUCGGGUGACCCCAUAACCACACCGUGACCCCGCUGUGACCUCGUGUGACCCCAUGACCACACCAUGACCCCAGCGUGACCCCAUGACCCUGCUGUGACCCCACUGUGACCCCUUCUGACCCCAAUGGACCCCAUAGGGAUUCCAUAGAGCCCCACUGACCCCAUAGAUACACCACAGACCCCACAGAGACCCCAUAGAGAUCCCAUAGAGCCCCACAGACCCCAUA